UACGUAGGGGGCUAGCGUUGUCCGGAUUUAUUGGGCGUAAAGAGCGCGUAGGCGGCCGAGUAAGUCCGACGUGAAAUCUGGAGGCUCAACCUCCAGCGGUCGUUGGAAACUACUCGGCUAGAGUCCGGAAGAGGAGAGUGGAAUUCCUGGUGUAGCGGUGAAAUGCGCAGAUAUCAGGAAGAACACCGAUGGCGAAGGCAGCUCUCUGGGACGGUACUGACGCUGAGGCGCGAGAGCGUGGGGAGCGAACAGG
rnacentral:rRNA from 1 species